rnacentral:rRNA from 1 species
UCAAGCUAAAAAGGGCGCAAGGUGAAUGCCUUGGCACUGGGAGCCGAUGAAAGACGUGGUAAGCUGCGAAAAGCUUCGGGGAGGAGCAAACAUCCAUUGAUCCGGAGAUAUCUGAAUGGGGCAACCCAAUGGAGUUCAUACUCCAUUAUCCAAUACUGAAUCCAUAGGUAUUGGAAGGGAACCGCCUGAACUGAAACAUCUAAGUAGGGCGAGGAAGAGACAUCAAACGAGAUUCCGUAAGUAGUGGCGAGCGAACGCGGAAGAGGGCAAACCGGGAGUAGAAAUACUUCCGGGGUACGGAGCGCAUUUAGGACUCAAGUUGUUAACCGAACGGCAUGGGAAGGCCGGUCAGAGAGUGUGAGAACCACGUAGGUGAAAACGACAAGAGCUGAGCGAGUUCCAGAGUACGGCCAGACACGUGAAACCUGGUCGGAAUACGGGGGGACCACCCUCCAACCCUAAAUACUACCCAGUGACCGAUAGCGUAUAGUACUGUGAAGGAAAGGUGAAAAGGACCCCGGGAGGGGAGUGAAAGAGAACCUGAAACCUUGUGCCUACAAGCACAUAGAGCCCGUCAAAGGGUGAUAUGGUACUUUUUGUAGAACGGUCCGGCGAGCGAUUGUACGUUGCAAGCUUAAGGUCUUAAGGACUGGAGGCGUAGCGAGAGCGAGUCUAAACAGGGCGUUUAGUAGCGUGCAAUGGGCCCGAAACCGGGUGACCUACCCAUGAUCAGGCUGAAGUGAAAGUAAAAUUUCAUGGAGGGCCGAACCGACCUCCGUUGAAAAGGCGGCGGAUGAAUUGUGGGUAGCGGAGAAAUUCCAAUCGAACUCGGAGAUAGCUGGUUCUCCCCGAAAUAGCUUUAGGGCUAGCCUCAUGUUAGAUAUCCGGAGGUAAAGCACUGAAUGGCCUAGCGUCCGAGAGGAUAGCGAAGCCUAUCAAACUAAGAAUGCCGGAAUAUUGAUGCAUGGGAGUCAGACAGUGUGAGAUAAAUCUCAUUGUCAAAAGGGAAACAGCCCAGAUCUACAGCUAAGGUCCCAAAUUGUAUCUAAGUGGAAAACGAUGUGGAAAUACGCAGACAACCAGGAUGUUGGCUCAGAAGCAGCCACUCAUUUAAAGAGUGCGUAAUAGCUCACUGGUCGAGCGUCUCUGCGCGGAAAAUUUAACGGGGCUAAGAUACAAACCGAAGCUUAGGCUGCAUACGGAAGUAUGCGGGGUAGGGGAGCGUUGUGUAAGCGGAGAAACAGUAGCGGAAGCGGCUGUGGAGUUUACAGAAGUGAGAAUGCCGGAAUGAGUAGCGCGAAUGAUGUGAGAAUCAUCAUGGCCGGAAACCUCAGGUUUUUGGAGGAAGGUUCGUCCGCUCCAAGUUAGGCGGGAGCUAAGGUGAGGCCGAAAGGCGUAGCCGAUGCACAGACGGUAGAGAUUCCGUCCCCACCGAAAGAUUUAAGCGCAGGGACACUUUUAGAAGGUCGGAGCCAGGUGUUGGUUCUGGUAGAGAUCGAGGGAAGAUUAGUACCGAAGUCCGGCUGGAUAAGAGGCGAGAAAAGCUGCGUGUAUAUCUAAGGUGCCCGUACCGCAAACCGACACAGGUAGGUAGGAAGAAGAUUCUAAGGCCAACGGGAGAAGGGUUGUUAAGGAACUCGGCAAAUUGACCCCGUAACUUCGGGAGAAGGGGUGCUCCAGAGAUGGAGCCGCAGAGAAUCGGCCCAAGCAACUGUUUACCAAAAACACAGGUUUGUGCUAAAUCGAAAGAUGACGUAUACGAGCUGACGCCUGCCCGGUGCUGGAAGGUUAAGAGGAGAUGUGCAAGCAUUGAAUCGAAGCCCCAGUGAACGGCGGCCGUAACUAUAACGGUCCUAAGGUAGCGAAAUUCCUUGUCAGGUAAGUUCUGACCCG